UGCUGGUUAGCUGGGUUGGUUAGAGCGUUGUGCUCAUAACGCCAAGGUCACUGGUUCAAUCCCCAAACAGGCUA